UACGUAGGUGGCGAGCGUUGUCCGGACUUACUGGGCGUAAAGAGCGCGCAGGCGGUCGUACAAGUCGCGUGUGAAAGCCCCCGGCUCAACUGGGGAGGGUCACGCGAUACUGUUCGACUCGAAGGCAGGAGAGGGAAGUGGAAUUCCCGGUGUAGUGGUGAAAUGCGUAGAUAUCAGGAGGAACACCGGUGGCGAAGGCGGGUCUCUGGGCAACAACUGACGCUGAGGAGCGAAAGCGUGGGGAGCGAACAGG
rnacentral:rRNA from 1 species